GCCCCUAUUUGAUAGCUUGGUACUAGACUGUUGCUAGCUCUUUGGAGUAUGUGCACGUCUAUUCCAACUUUAUAUAACCACCUGUGCACUUUGAUGUAAAUCUGAAUCACUCAAGAUAUACCAACUUGGUCUGAAAAAUUGCUGUGUAUUUUAAUAAUAAUAAAGCCAGCUUUUUUUCUUACAUUUUCAGAUUUAUGUUUUAUAUAUGUAUAUUCCAUAAAAAGCAUCAGAAUGCAAUAUCAUGUUUAUAAUAACAUAUAAUACAACUUUCAACAACGGAUCUCUUGGCUCUCGCAUCGAUGAAGAACGCAGCGAAAUGCGAUAAGUAAUGUGAAUUGCAGAAUUCAGUGAAUCAUCGAAUCUUUGAACGCAUCUUGCGCUUCUUGGUAUUCCGAGAAGCAUGCCUGUUUGAGUGUCAUGAAAUUCUCAACCUUGCUAGCUUUUAUAUUUUAAAGCUCUAGUUUAAGGCAUUGGACUCUGGAAGUCUGCUGGUUAUUGCAACUCAGCUCUUCUUAAUUGCAUUAGCAAGAUCAACUACUGAAUCUUUGAUAUGAUAAUUAUAUGUAUCAUUGAUAAAUACAGUAUGGAUCUGGCUACUAAUAUUCUUUCAUUAUUUGAAUCUAUUUGACCUCAAAUCAGGUAGGACUACCCGCUGAACUUAAGCAUAUCAAAACCGGAGAGGAA
rnacentral:rRNA from 1 species